GACGAACGCUGGCGGCGUGCCUAAUACAUGCAAGUCGAACGAACCGCGACUAAGUGCUUGCACGAAGUCAAGGUGAGUGGCGAACGGGUGAGUAACACGUGGGUAACCUACAUUAUAGUGGGGGGUAACAGUCGGAAACGACUGCUAAUACCGCAAAGGACAUAGGAUCACAUGAUCCAGCGAGGAAAGCUGGCGCAAGCAAUCGCUAAGAGAUGGACCCGCGGUGCAUUAGCUAGUUGGUAGGGUAAAGGCCUACCAAGGCGAUGAUGCAUAGCCGACCUGAGAGGAUGAUCAGCCACAUUGGGACUGAGACACGGCCCAGACUCCUACGGGAGGCAGCAGUGGGGAAUCUUCCACAAUGGGCGCAAGUCUGACGGAGCAACGCCGCGUGAGUGAAGAAGGUCUUCGGAUCGUAAAGCGCUGUUGUUAGGGAAGAACAGCGCAUGGAGAAACUGCUAUGCGUGUGACGGUAUCUAAAGAGAAAGCCACGGCUAACUACGUG
rnacentral:rRNA from 1 species